UGGGGAAUUUUGCACAAUGGGGGAAACCCUGAUGCAGCGACGCCGCGUGAUUUAGAAGGCCUUCGGGUUGUAAAAAUCUUUUCUAUGGGAAGAAAAUGACAGUACCAUAGGAAUAAGGACCGGCUAAUUACGUGCCAGCAGCCGCGGUAAUACGUAAGGUCCGAGCGUUGUCCGGAAUCAUUGGGCGUAAAGGGGACGUAGGCGGGUAAGCAAGUUAGAAGUGAAAUCCUAUAGCUCAACUAUAGUAAGCUUUUAAAACUGCUCAUCUUGAGGUAUGGAAGGGAAAGUGGAAUUCCUAGUGUAGCGGUGAAAUGCGCAGAUAUUAGGAGGAAUACCGGUGGCGAAGGCGACUUUCUGGCCAUAACCUGACGCUGAGGUACGAAAGCGUGGGUAGCAAACAGG
rnacentral:rRNA from 1 species